GCUUUCACCGUGUAAUCUUGCUCUGUGUCUACCUGACCUGUUUAUAUCCAGCAGAGAGCUGUCAGCUGAAACACUCUCACCAGUUUAUAAGCACCAUUUCCUGUCAGAGAACGAUUGUGAAAAUAUGGAAAAAGUUGUUUGGAAGGCAGAGAAACAACACCAAGAUGUGGCUCGAUUUCUAUUUGCUGAACCACAAGUAAGGAAGCCAUUGGUCCAAAUUCAGCCCCUUCCAGAGCUUCUCACACUGCUGAAUGUGGAAAUGGAAGCUGUUGCAGAACCCAAAGACAGUAUAAUAAAAUUUCACCUCACCAACAGUACACCGAUUA